rnacentral:lncRNA from 1 species
GCCACCUGUUUGUAUGAGUGCUUCCAAAGGCGUCCUUUUUCUGAUGACUGCUGGUGGUGAGUUCACACCUGAUCUGUCAGCUUUGAGCCUCCCCCACUCAAAAACUCCUAUGUGGAUCUCUUCAGAUGUCCUGGAUAUAAUUACUCCUCAAGAGCUGUACCACCAGCCUCUUCUAGAGGAAAUCGUUGUUGUCCUUUGUGAUGGAUUGGCUGCAAUGGUAAUCAAGAGAAGAAGACCAUAAUAUUAUCCACAUGAAAUCUGGGGAAAGAGAAAAGGUAAAAGACUUUGAAUUUACUAGUUGCAACUUUUUGGUUGUUUCUUUGGAAGACCAUAUCAUUACUGAUGAAUGGAUUCUCUGAUACUGUUGAAUAAUCAAUUCCUAUUUCUUAUAAACCCACAAGGAAAGAAAAUAAUUUCUUUUAAUCAAAAAGAAAAAAUGAGAUGGUAUAAUACACCAUUCAAAGAGGCUAGUAAAUACUAUAGCUGAGUUAAACUACUUGUUAUGAUUGACAAUAAUGGCUUUUAUUCCUGAGACAAGGCUAACAUUACCUUGGCUGAAAUGUGUGUUAGGAUUAUAUGGUAGAAAUUUGUUUAUUAUUAAAACAUAAUUAGGUAUGAGAACCAUUUAUUGGUGAAUUUGGAUGGCAAAUUUUGGCCUUGGUAACUUCCAAUUUUUGGGUUUUCCAGUGGAUUUCUGUCCCAUGCACUCAGGGAGCAGGUAAGGACCAGAUGUGGGUCAGGAAUGGGAGUCUUGGUGACCCACUAGGCUCUCCUCAGGGUCUUUCUGGGUUUUAAGAUCACUUGCCUAUGUGUUACCUUUUUGGUUACUUGUUCAUGCUGUGGUAGUCACUGAACUCUUUGUUGCUGAGGUCUUGUUUUUUCUAGGUGUGUUUUGGAAACCUGGUAUCCUUAUAAAUUUAUUGAAGAUGGAUUGAAAAGCAAGGAAAGAAGAAAAAAAAAUAUUAUUUAGAGGCAAUAUUCUUAGCUGGUGAUGCCAUUCCUAGCCCAGCUAACGAGGGAAUUACACUGUCCUUAGGUUUCUGACAUGUGUUGCUCUUGUGUUUUGCUCAUACAUAUGUAAACUUAGCAAAUAGCGCAGAAAUUUCAGUGGAAGCUGUAACAACUCUGCAGUGCUUCUUGGACUGGUUCAAGGCUUCUCAGCAGAGCAGACAAAAUUGUAUUUUCUGAUCCAAGCCUGAGGGCUGGAAGCACAAGUGGGACAGCGGGUAGGUCUGAAAAACUGGGUCAUGGACUCACACUCCCUGGGGAGGCUGGAGGGAGCCGGGAGGCUGUGACUGCUCUCCAGCGUCAGAGAAACCUGUGUUUGUCCACUUCAUUUGGGCCAGGAGCCGCCCUUUUGUAAGUAGGUGAGAACAAUCUGUCCACCAUUAAAGUUCAGUCUUGAUUGCUAUUAUCUGCAGGGUGACUGAAGUCAGGCAGCUUCUGUAGAGAUGCUUGUCUUUUCCCAUUUUUUAGCAGCUGUAUCUGGUGUUUUGUUGUGUGUGCCCGGUCUCUGAACUGUUCCACCUAUUUUCAGCCUUUUUGAGUUGAAGCAUCUUUUCUUCAUAGUAUUUAUUGUCUUGCUGAGAUAGGGAACAUCCCUUAAGAGGUUUAGGAUGAUAGACGUGCAUGAUGGUAAAUCUUCCUGCUGCUGUGGAAUGGUAGUUGUGCAGUGGUGGAUGCUGGCUGAUAUGUAGUGUUGCUGCCCACAGCCAGGAAAAAGAACAUCCAGAAGGUAACAAAAACAUUCUUCUUUUCUCAAGUGGAUUUCACGAAGGUCUGAAAAUGAUCACUUUUUAAUGUUCUUCUACAUUGGACAUGUACUCUUCCCAGGGCUUGCAUUCAAAUUUUAAUUCUUGCAACAUAGUUAUAAGUGAAAAUGGUUAUUUCCAUACCUUCUAUCUCUGAGCAGGUGAAUAUGUUAGCCUCUUUAGGAAUAUUUUACAUAUUUUUCUCUUUCUGAAUCAUGUUUAUAAUGCACUUCAAUGAGCAAGGUUUCCCAGUGUUAGCUGCAUAGGGAUUUAUGCAGAAUUUAAGAUUUAAAUGUAUUUAUUUUAUUUUCCUCUUGUUGCUCUCAUGACUUGAUAUGUAAUGGCUCACAAAGGAGACCAGGUGCAAAGUGUCCAUAGACAGCAGGUGGCGUUUGGGCUCUCAAAUCCACAGGGAAAUGUUCUGUUAUCCCCUGUUAGCAUAAGAAGUUUCAUGGCUGAUGUAAAGUAACACAAAGGUUCAGAUGACAAUCAGAUUCACAGAUGCUGUUUCUAGAAAGACAAAUUGCAAAGGACUCUUGAAGAUGCUAAACUUGCAUAGUAGUUGUCUAUAAUGUGAUUUGGAAACUUUAGUGAAGAGAAUAGCAGAGCGAGCUAUUAAAAUUCAGUUUUACAGCCAACAGGAAAGGUAUCAUGAGCUGGCAUUUGAUUCUGCUCUCUUUUGUUCUUGUUUUGCUUAAUUAAAGAGCACAAAACUAACCUGAAAAUGUCUGUACAAGUACAACAUACAUCUAUUUCCAGGGUUUAUCUGCAGUAAUGUUAAGAUAGAAGAUUUUUUCUUUAUUAUUAUCUUUUUGCAGACGACUUUUAUCUAAUAAAUAUAAUGAAGGCAGCA